rnacentral:tRNA from 1 species
UAUUAAUUUAUUAUUUUGGCAGAUUAGUGCUUUAAAUUUAGAAUUUAAAUAUGUAUAUAUUAUACAAAUAAUA